UACGUAGGGUGCAAGCGUUUGUCCGGAAUUAUUGGGCGUAAAGAGCUUGUAGGCGGUUUGUCGCGUCUGCUGUGAAAUUUCGGGGCUCAACCCCGAACUUGCAGUGGGUACGGGCAGACUAGAGUGUGGUAGGGGAGACUGGAAUUCCUGGUGUAGCGGUGAAAUGCGCAGAUAUCAGGAGGAACACCGGUGGCGAAGGCGGGUCUCUGGGCAGUAACUGACGCUGAGGAGCGAAAGCGUGGGGAGCGAACAGG
rnacentral:rRNA from 1 species